rnacentral:rRNA from 1 species
AAUCUGGUUGGGUGGUCUGCCUUCUUGGUAUGUACUGCUCGGCCGGAUUCUACCUCUUGGUGAGCCGGCAUGCUCUUUACUGGGUGUGUCGGGGAACCAGGACUUUUACCUUGAGAAAAUUAGAGUGUUCAAAGCAGGCCUUUGCCCGAAUACAUUAGCAUGGCAUAAUAAAAUAGGACG